rnacentral:rRNA from 1 species
UACGUAGGAGGCGAGCGUUGUCCGGAAUUAUUGGGCGUAAAGGGCGCGUAGGCGGCCUGGCAAGUGGAAGGUGAAAUCCCUCGGCUUAACCGAGGAACUGCCCUCCAAACUGCUUGGCUUGAGUCCGGGAGAGGUGAGUGGAAUUCCCAGUGUAGCGGUGAAAUGCGUAGAUAUUGGGAGGAACACCAGUGGCGAAGGCGGCUCACUGGACCGGAACUGACGCUGAGGCGCGAAAGCGUGGGGAGCAAACGGG